rnacentral:rRNA from 1 species
GACGAACGCUGGCGGCGUGCCUAAUACAUGCAAGUCGAACGCUUCUUUCCUCCCGAGUGCUUGCACUCAAUUGGAAAGAGGAGUGGCGGACGGGUGAGUAACACGUGGGUAACCUACCCAUCAGAGGGGGAUAACACUUGGAAACAGGUGCUAAUACCGCAUAACAGUUUAUGCCGCAUGGCAUAAGAGUGAAAGGCGCUUUCGGGUGUCGCUGAUGGAUGGACCCGCGGUGCAUUAGCUAGUUGGUGAGGUAACGGCUCACCAAGGCCACGAUGCAUAGCCGACCUGAGAGGGUGAUCGGCCACACUGGGACUGAGACACGGCCCAGACUCCUACGGGAGGCAGCAGUAGGGAAUCUUCGGCAAUGGACGAAAGUCUGACCGAGCAACGCCGCGUGAGUGAAGAAGGUUUUCGGAUCGUAAAACUCUGUUGUUAGAGAAGAACAAGGACGUUAGUAACUGAACGUCCCCUGACGGUAUCUAACCAGAAAGCCACGGCUAACUACGUGCCAGCAGCCGCGGUAAUACGUAGGUGGCAAGCGUUGUCCGGAUUUAUUGGGCGUAAAGCGAGCGCAGGCGGUUUCUUAAGUCUGAUGUGAAAGCCCCCGGCUCAACCGGGGAGGGUCAUUGGAAACUGGGAGACUUGAGUGCAGAAGAGGAGAGUGGAAUUCCAUGUGUAGCGGUGAAAUGCGUAGAUAUAUGGAGGAACACCAGUGGCGAAGGCGGCUCUCUGGUCUGUAACUGACGCUGAGGCUCGAAAGCGUGGGGAACAAACAGGAUUAGAUACCCUGGUAGUCCACGCCGUAAACGAUGAGUGCUAAGUGUUGGAGGGUUUCCGCCCUUCAGUGCUGCAGCAAACGCAUUAAGCACUCCGCCUGGGGAGUACGACCGCAAGGUUGAAACUCAAAGGAAUUGACGGGGGCCCGCACAAGCGGUGGAGCAUGUGGUUUAAUUCGAAGCAACGCGAAGAACCUUACCAGGUCUUGACAUCCUUUGACCACUCUAGAGAUAGAGCUUUCCCUUCGGGGACAAAGUGACAGGUGGUGCAUGGUUGUCGUCAGCUCGUGUCGUGAGAUGUUGGGUUAAGUCCCGCAACGAGCGCAACCCUUAUUGUUAGUUGCCAUCAUUUAGUUGGGCACUCUAGCGAGACUGCCGGUGACAAACCGGAGGAAGGUGGGGAUGACGUCAAAUCAUCAUGCCCCUUAUGACCUGGGCUACACACGUGCUACAAUGGGAAGUACAACGAGUCGCUAGACCGCGAGGUCAUGCAAAUCUCUUAAAGCUUCUCUCAGUUCGGAUUGCAGGCUGCAACUCGCCUGCAUGAAGCCGGAAUCGCUAGUAAUCGCGGAUCAGCACGCCGCGGUGAAUACGUUCCCGGGCCU